GAUGAACGCUGGCGGCGUGCUUAAUACAUGCAAGUCGAACGGAGGUAUGUAGCAAUAUAUAUCUUAGUGGCGGACGGGUGAGUAACGCGUAGGUAACCUGCCCUGAAGCGGGGGAUAGCCCGGGGAAACCCGGAUUAAUACCGCAUAAGCUCACGGACUGGGAUGUCUGUGAGAAAAGGAGCAAUCCGCUUCAGGAUGGGCCUGCGUCCUAUCAGCUAGUUGGUGAGGUAACGGCUCACCAAGGCGAGGACGGGUAGCCGGUCUGAGAGGAUGAACGGCCACACUGGAACUGAGACACGGUCCAGACUCCUACGGGAGGCAGCAGUGGGGAAUUUUGCGCAAUGGGCGAAAGCCUGACGCAGCGACGCCGCGUGGAGGACGAAGGCCUUCGGGUUGUAAACUCCUUUAGUGCGGGAAGAAGCCGCAAGGCGACGGUACCGCAAGAAUAAGCCACGGCUAACUCCGUGCCAGCCGCCGCGGUAAGAC
rnacentral:rRNA from 1 species